rnacentral:rRNA from 1 species
CGCGUAGGCGGACUUUCAAGUCAGAUGUGAAAACUGCGGGCUUAACUCGCAGCUUGCAUUUGAAACUGUUGGUCUUGAGUACAUGAGAGGAAAGCGGAAUUCCAGGUGUAGCGGUGAAAUGCGUAGAUAUCUGGAAGAACACCAGUAGCGAAGGCGGCUUUCUGGACUGAUACUGACGCUAAAGCGCGAAGGCUUGGGUAGCAAACA